rnacentral:ribozyme from 1 species
UAUUCUUUUCUUUUAUUUUGGCCCCCGUUUUUACUUAUUCUUUUUGUAUUUUUGUAUAAUUUGUCAAAAAUAUGCGUUGGUUUACGCUUGCUCUUCCGCACUCCCAUCUGACGUUGAGAAAGGGAGUGCGAAGUGCACCUGUACAAUUGAUUUUUUUUUGAAAACAAAAAAAAACAAAAACAU